CCUACGGUAGGCAGCAGUGAGGAAUAUUGGUCAAUGGCCGGAAGGCUGAACCAGCCAAGCCGCGUGAGGGAGGAAGGCGCAGAGCGUCGCAGACCUCUUUUGCCGGGGGACAAACGGCCGUACGUGUCCGCUUCUGCGGGUACCCGGCGAAUAAGCAUCGGCUAACUCCGUGCCAGCAGCCGCGGUAAUACGGAGGAUGCGAGCGUUAUCCGGAUUCAUUGGGUUUAAAGGGUGCGCAGGCGGGGCUUUAAGCCGGCGGUGAAAUCGCGGGGCUCAACCCGGACGAGCCGUCGGAACUGGGGGGCUGGAGGGCGGCGGAGGCAGGCGGAAUGCGCGGUGUAGCGGUGAAAUGCAUAGAUAUCGCGCAGAACCCCGAUUGCGAAGGCAGCGUGCCGUGCCGCAACUGACGCUGAGGCACGAAAGCGCGGGGAUCGAACAGGAUUAGAUACCCUAGUAGUC
rnacentral:rRNA from 1 species